rnacentral:rRNA from 1 species
GAGUUUGAUCGUGGCUCAGAUUGAAUGCUGGCGGCAUGCCUUACACAUGCAAGUCGAACGGCAGCACGGGAGCUUGCUCCUGGUGGCGAGUGGCGAACGGGUGAGUAAUGCAUCGGAACGUAUCCUGGAGUGGGGGAUAACGUAGCGAAAGUUACGCUAAUACCGCAUAUUCUGUGAGCAGGAAAGCGGGGGACCUUCGGGCCUCGCGCUCUUGGAGCGGCCGAUGUCGGAUUAGCUAGUUGGUGAGGUAAAGGCUCACCAAGGCGACGAUCCGUAGCAGGUCUGAGAGGAUGAUCUGCCACACUGGAACUGAGACACGGUCCAGACUCCUACGGGAGGCAGCAGUGGGGAAUUUUGGAUAAUGGGGGCAACCCUGAUCCAGCCAUGCCGCGUGAGUGAAGAAGGCCUCGGUUGUAAG